rnacentral:rRNA from 1 species
UCCCAGUUCGGAUUGUAGUCUGNAACCCGACUACAUGAAGCUGGAAUCGCUAGUAAUCGCGGAUCAGAAUGCCGCGGUGAAUACGUUCCCGGGUCUUGUACACACCGCCCGUCACACCAUGGGAGUCGGAAAUGCCCGAAGUCUGUGACCCAACCAUUAAGGAGGGAGCAGCCGAAGGCAGGUCGGAUGACUGGGGUGAAGUCGUAACAAGGUAAC